rnacentral:rRNA from 1 species
CAGCCGCCGCGGGAAUACGUAGGUGGCAAGCGUUGUCCGGAAUUAUUGGGCGUAAAGCGCGCGCAGGUGGUUUAAUAAGUCUGAUGUGAAAGCCCACGGCUCAACCGUGGAGGGUCAUUGGAAACUGUUAAACUUGAGUGCAGAAGAGGAGAGUGGAAUUCCACGUGUAGCGGUGAAAUGCGUAGAGAUGUGGAGGAACACCAGUGGCGAAGGCGACUCUCUGGUCUGUAACUGACGCUGAGGAGCGAAAGCGUGGGGAGCGAACAGGAUUAGAUACCCGCGUAGUCCCUGUCUCUUAUAC